CAAAUGUCCAGAGUGAAGCAAAGCACUUUCAAAUCUUUGAAAUAUGCCAAAAGCAAUAGUUUGGUCUACUACCAGGUGCCUUUUCAUCUGGCUGGCGGUGUUACUGUCGUAUUCUAAAGUCUGCAGUGACAAUGGGGAAGAUCCUACAGGAUUUGAUGAGGACAAUUAUCCUGCUUGGUUAGAAAAUUCC